rnacentral:rRNA from 1 species
UACAGAGGGGGCGAGCGUUGUUCGGAAUUACUGGGCGUAAAGGGCGCGUAGGCGGCCCGCUAAGUCGAACGUGAAAUCCCCAGGCUCAACCUGGGAACUGCGUCCGAUACUGGCAGGCUUGAAUCCGGGAGAGGGAUGUGGAAUUCCAGGUGUAGCGGUGAAAUGCGUAGAUAUCUGGAGGAACACCGGUGGCGAAGGCGGUUCUCUGGGCCUUACCUGACGCUGAGGAGCGAAAGCGUGGGGAGCGAACAGG